CCUACGGGAGGCAGCAGUGGGGAAUAUUGGGCAAUGGAGGAAACUCUGACCCAGCAACGCCGCGUGAAGGAUGAAGGUUUUCGGAUUGUAAACUUCUGUCGCGAGGGAUGAAGAAUGACGGUACCUCGUAAGAAAGCCCCGGCAAACUACGUGCCAGCAGCCGCGGUAAUACGUAGGGGGCGAGCGUUGUCCGGAAUGACUGGGCGUAAAGGGAGUGUAGGCGGUAUGUCAAGUCAAGGGUGAAAUCCCCGCGCUCAACGUGGGAACUGCCUUUGAAACUGGCAAACUGGAGUGUGUGAGAGGAUAGUGGAAUUCCAGGUGUAGGAGUGAAAUCCGUAGAUAUCUGGAGGAACAUCAGUGGCGAAGGCGACUAUCUGGCACAUAACUGACGCUGAGGAGCGAAAGCGUGGGUAGCAAACAGGAUUAGAUACCCUAGUAGUC
rnacentral:rRNA from 1 species